UACGUAGGGUGCAAGCGUUGUCCGGAAUUACUGGGCGUAAAGAGCUCGUAGGCGGUUUGUCGCGUCGUCUGUGAAAACUCGAGGCUCAACCUCGAGCUUGCAGGCGAUACGGGCAGACUUGAGUACUGCAGGGGAGACUGGAAUUCCUGGUGUAGCGGUGAAAUGCGCAGAUAUCAGGAGGAACACCGGUGGCGAAGGCGGGUCUCUGGGCAGUAACUGACGCUGAGGAGCGAAAGCGUGGGUAGCAAAC
rnacentral:rRNA from 1 species